CAACAGGCUGCUCCAAAAGUGACUGAAUCACUGGCAUGCACUGCAUCCAGAGGACCAAGAGUGCCAACAGGUGAACGGUUAUGAAACAGGUCAGCUUCAGCAGUCUUCUUAAACUAAAGAAAGCCUGCUGGGAGGUGAAGACAUGGAAAUAAAGCCACAUAUUUAGGGAUCCAGCAGGACUCCCAGUGAGGUGCUGAAAGAGCAAGUGCAGCUGACAGAGCUGAAGCCGGACCUCCAAGAAGCAAACGGUGCACCGAGACCUGAAUGUCCCAUAACAACUGGGAGCAGCAGGUGGACCCUGAAGGAAGUUUGACAGAAAUCUGAUUCUUAACCUCCUACAGCUGCAUGGACUUUGAGUAAAAGCCACAGAUGAUCGGAGCUGAUAAUCGUUGGCAGCGUCCAGAAAAAGGUACGUCCACUUCUUGACAGUCGUUUUAAGGUAGAUGUUAGCAGAUAUGCGACUGAAGGCACACUGUUAAUCAUUAAAGGCACUUUUAUAUCUCGUUACAUUUUUACUCAGUGCCACUUACAGAUUUUAACCCUUUUGAAACGUUUCCUUCUAAGUCCACCUUUUCACUUCCCAUAACCCGCGCACCAUUUUUAGUAUCACCAUAAAGCCCCGGGAUCCCAAUCUGUGCCAUCAGCUUUCUGUUCAGAAGCACCCAUUUGCCUGGCAGAGCAGCGUGCCCUCGCCUGGCCUCAUUUUGUUAAUUGGGAUUCCGCAACACAGGGCUGUGUUGCAGGCGCUGCUGGGGUACAGCCCUGCUGAGCAGCUCUGGGGGCAGCUGGAAGGAGCCAACACACCUCACCAAUGUGCCACGCUGAGACAAGCCAGCAGAAAAGCAACCACGUCAUUACAAAUCGUUCCAUAGAAAUGUAAUACAGACUCUGAGAAAACGUUGUAGGGUGUUGAAACAGAUAUUCUUCUUUUACCUCUAAGUCUAAAGGGGAAAAUGAAAAAAAGAAAGAACACCGAUAGAAGCGGUGGGGUGACAGGAACUGAGCGUUCUCCUGGCCCGGUGUUAUGUAAAACAUUAAACGUUCUGUAAGCGGGCUGACCGCGUUAGCAACGCUACCUAAAAAAACAGUAGGGCCGCGGUUCGGUCAGUGCGGAGCAAUUCCCGGCAGCAAACAAGAGCUGGCACACAGCAGGCUGCUCGGCGGCCCUGCCUGGAACAGCCAGCGGGCGCUGCGCGGGGGGCUCCGGACGCGGUCCGGGAGGGUCGG
rnacentral:lncRNA from 1 species